rnacentral:rRNA from 1 species
UACGUAGGGGGCAAGCGUUGUCCGGAAUCAUUGGGCGUAAAGCGCGCGUAGGCGGCCCGGUAAGUCCGCUGUGAAAGUCAAGGGCUCAACCCUUGGAUGCCGGUGGAUACUGUCGGGCUAGAGUCCGGAAGAGGCGAGUGGAAUUCCUGGUGUAGCGGUGAAAUGCGCAGAUAUCAGGAGGAACACCAGUGGCGAAGGCGGUCAUCUGGGGCUGACCUGACGCUGAGGAGCGAAAGCCAGGGGAGCAAACGGG